AUGAACGCUAGCUACAGGCUUAACACAUGCAAGUCGAGGGGCAGCAUGGUCUUAGCUUGCUAAGGCCGAUGGCGACCGGCGCACGGGUGAGUAACACGUAUCCAACCUGCCGUCUACUCUUGGACAGCCUUCUGAAAGGAAGAUUAAUACAAGAUGGCAUCAUGAGUCCACAUGUUCACAUGAUUAAAGGUAUUCCGGUAGACGAUGGGGAUGCGUUCCAUUAGAUAGUAGGCGGGGUAACGGCCCACCUAGUCUUCGAUGGAUAGGGGUUCUGAGAGGAAGGUCCCCCACAUUGGAACUGAGACACGGUCCAAACUCCUACGGGAGGCAGCAGUGAGGAAUAUUGGUCAAUGGGCGAGAGCCUGAACCAGCCAAGUAGCGUGAAGGAUGACUGCCCUAUGGGUUGUAAACUUCUUUUAUAAAGGAAUAAAGUCGGGUAUGCAUACCCGUUUGCAUGUACUUUAUGAAUAAGGAUCGGCUAACUCCGUGCCAGCAGCCGCGGUAAUACGGAGGAUCCGAGCGUUAUCCGGAUUUAUUGGGUUUAAAGGGAGCGUAGAUGGAUGUUUAAGUCAGUUGUGAAAGUUUGCGGCUCAACCGUAAAAUUGCAGUUGAUACUGGAUAUCUUGAGUGCAGUUGAGGCAGGCGGAAUUCGUGGUGUAGCGGUGAAAUGCUUAGAUAUCACGAAGAACUCCGAUUGCGAAGGCAGCCUGCUAAGCUGCAACUGACAUUGAGGCUCGAAAGUGUGGGUAUCAAACAGGAUUAGAUACCCUGGUAGUCCACACGGUAAACGAUGAAUACUCGCUGUUUGCGAUAUACUGCAAGCGGCCAAGCGAAAGCGUUAAGUAUUCCACCUGGGGAGUACGCCGGCAUCGGUGAAACUCAAAGGAAUUGACGGGGGCCCGCACAAGCGGAGGAACAUGUGGUUUAAUUCGAUGAUACGCGAGGAACCUUACCCGGGCUUAAAUUGCAGAUGAAUUACGGUGAAAGCCGUAAGCCGCAAGGCAUCUGUGAAGGUGCUGCAUGGUUGUCGUCAGCUCGUGCCGUGAGGUGUCGGCUUAAGUGCCAUAACGAGCGCAACCCUUGUUGUCAGUUACUAACAGGUUCUGCUGAGGACUCUGACAAGACUGCCAUCGUAAGAUGUGAGGAAGGUGGGGAUGACGUCAAAUCAGCACGGCCCUUACGUCCGGGGCUACACACGUGUUACAAUGGGGGGUACAGAGGGCCGCUACCACGCGAGUGGAUGCCAAUCCCAAAAACCUCUCUCAGUUCGGACUGGAGUCUGCAACCCGACUCCACGAAGCUGGAUUCGCUAGUAAUCGCGCAUCAGCCACGGCGCGGUGAAUACGUUCCCGGGCCUUGUACACACCGCCCGUCAAGCCAUGGGAGCCGGGGGUACCUGAAGUGCGUAACCGCGAGGAGCGCCCUAGGGUAAAACUGGUGACUGGGGCU
rnacentral:rRNA from 1 species